rnacentral:rRNA from 1 species
GAGUUUGAACCUGGCUCAGGAUGAACGCUGGCGGCGUGCCUAAUACAUGCAAGUCGAGCGAACCACUUCGGUGGUGAGCGGCGAACGGGUGAGUAACACGUAGGUGAUCUGCCCAUCAGACGGGGACAACGAUUGGAAACGAUCGCUAAUACCGGAUAGGACGAAAGUUUAAAGGUGCUUCUGGCACCGCUGAUGGAUGAGCCUGCGGCGCAUUAGCUAGUUGGUAGGGUAAAGGCCUACCAAGGCGACGAUGCGUAGCCGACCUGAGAGGGUGAACGGCCACACUGGGACUGAGACACGGCCCAGACUCCUACGGGAGGCAGCAGUAGGGAAUCUUCGGCAAUGGGCGAAAGCCUGACCGAGCAACGCCGCGUGAAUGAUGAAGGCCUUCGGGUUGUAAAAUUCUGUUAUAAGGGAAGAACGACUUUAGUAGGAAAUGGCUAGAGUGUGACGGUACCUUAUGAGAAAGCCACGGCUAACUACGUGCCAGCAGCCGCGGUAAUACGUAGGUGGCGAGCGUUAUCCGGAAUUAUUGGGCGUAAAGAGCGCGCAGGUGGUUGAUUAAGUCUGAUGUGAAAGCCCACGGCUUAACCGUGGA